AGAGUUUGAUCCUGGCUCAGAACGAACGCUGGCGGCGCGUCUUAAGCAUGCAAGUCGGACGGCAAGGCGGGUGCUUGCACCCGCCCUAGAGUGGCGGACUGGUGAGUAACACGUGGGUGACAUGCCUUGAGGACGGGGAUAGCCGUUAGAAAUAGCGGAUAAUACCGGAUACGCUCAUCACUGUUAGAGGGUGGUGAGGAAAGGGGCUACGGCCCCGCCUUAAGAGUGGCCCGCGGCCCAUUAUGCUUGUUGGUGUGGUAACGGCGCACCAAGGCUCUGAUGGGUAUCCGGCCUAAGAGGGUGAACGGACACAUUGGGACUGAGAUACGGCCCAGACUCCUACGGGAGGCAGCAGCUAAGAAUAUUCCGCAAUGGGCGAAAGCCUGACGGAGCGACGCCGCGUGGGUGAGGAAGGCCGAAAGGUUGUAAAGCCCUUUUGAACCUGAAGAAUAAGCUUCGGAGGGAAUGCCGGAGUGGUGA
rnacentral:rRNA from 1 species